AUGGCCUGGGCUCUUCUGCUCACACUUCUGGCUCACUGCGCAGGAGCCACAUCCCAGGCUGUGGUGACUCAGGAAACUUCACUGUCCACAACUCCUGGAGAGACCGUCACAUUCACCUGUGGCUCCAGUGCUGGUGCUGUCACCACCAGUAACUAUGCAAACCGGGUCCAGCAGAAGCCCAACCAGGUACUCCGGGGUCUAAUAGGUAACACCAGCAACCAGCUGCCAGGGGUCCCUGCCCGAUUCUCAGGCUCCCUCAUUGGAGGCAAGGCUGCCCUCACCAUCACAGGGGCCCAGCCCGAGGACGAAGCCAAGUAUUACUGUGCUCUGUGGUUCAGCGACCACUUCCACAGUGACAGAUGCAGAUGGGGAAGUGAGACACAAACAACCCAGCUCAGCCUCACCCCUUGCUCCUAA